AGUGAACGCUGGCGGUAGGCCUAACACAUGCAAGUCGAACGGCAGCACAGUAAGAGCUUGCUCUUACGGGUGGCGAGUGGCGGACGGGUGAGGAAUACAUCGGAAUCUACUUUUUCGUGGGGGAUAACGUAGGGAAACUUACGCUAAUACCGCAUACGACCUACGGGUGAAAGCAGGGGAUCUUCGGACCUUGCGCGAUUGAAUGAGCCGAUGUCGGAUUAGCUAGUUGGCGGGGUAAAGGCCCACCAAGGCGACGAUCCGUAGCUGGUCUGAGGGGAUGAUCAGCCACACUGGAACUGAGACACGGUCCAGACUCCUACGGGAGGCAGCAGUGGGGAAUAUUGGACAAUGGGCGCAAGCCUGAUCCAGCCAUACCGCGUGGGUGAAGAAGGCCUUCGGGUUGUAAAGCCCUUUUGUUGGGAAAGAAAAGCAGCAGGUUAAUACCCCGCCGUUCUGACGGUACCCAAAGAAUAAGCACCGGCUAACUUCGUG
rnacentral:rRNA from 1 species